rnacentral:rRNA from 1 species
UUUCGCAAUGCCCGAAAGGGUGACGAAGCGACGCCGCGUGUGGGAAGAAGGCCUUCGGGUUGUAAACCACUGUCGGGAGUUAAGAAAUGCAAGGGUGUUAAUAGCGCCCUUGCUUGACUAAGGCUCCGGAGGAAGCCACGGCUGACUCUGUGCCAGCAGCCGCGGUAAUAUAGAGGCGGCAAGCGUUGUUCGGAAUUAUUGGGCGUAAAGAGCACGUAGGCGGCCUUGUAAGUCAGUUGUGAAAGCCUUCUGCUCAACGGAAGAACAGCAUCUGAUACUGCAAGGCUAGAGUGCGGAAGGGGAGAGUGGAACUUCUGGUGGAGCGGUGAAAUGCGUAGAUAUCAGAAGGAACACCGGCGGCGAAGGCGACUCUCUGGUCCGUAACUGACGCUGAGUGUGCGAAAGCUAGGGGAGCAAACGGGAUUAGAUACCCCGGUAGUCCUAGCCGUAAACGAUGGGCACUAAGUAGAGGGGUUUUA